rnacentral:rRNA from 1 species
CUUGUACACACCGCCCGUCACGUCAUGAAAGUUGGUAACACCCGAAGCCAGUGGCCUAAAACUUGUUAGGGAGCUGUCGAAGGUGGGAUCGGCGAUUGGGACGAAGUCGUAACAAGGUACCCGUACCGGAAGGUGCGGGUGGAUCACCUCCUUUCUAAGGAG